AGCUGCCCCCUGGAGCACCCCAGCUCCUCACAGAGCUCUCACAGCUAUCGAAUGAUCCAGAAGGCCAAGACUUCCCACGGUGACCCUCAUGUCUCAGCCCGGCAACUUCAUUCCUACUGUAACACGAACGUAGGGAAUGCUUCUUUGCCUUGGGGGUAGGCUCAGUAGCUCCAGUGGACCUUUCACCAGGACGGAGCUGUGCCGUGGACCUGGGCAGGCCUCAGAGAAAGUCCGGCCAAGGUCAGAAGUGCACGUCCUGGGAACAGGAGGUGUUGCACGUGAAGGGCUGACUUCCUUGUCUGCUAAAAUGUCUUCACGGCUGAAGAGAGCGAACUCUUUCUUACCCCCUACUGGGUAGCCCGCAGUGAUCUGCUUCAAGUUAAAAAAUUUUGAGAUCUUGUUUUAUUGUAAAACUUUAUGUGUAUCUUUUAUUGUAUACCAUAUCGUAUUGUAUUUCAACAUAAAAAUAAUGCUUUGGGUUGCCACGAGAAGAGCAAAGCAAGUCGAAACCAUAUUUUCUACUCUCUUGGUUAUCAGGUGACGUGCUUCUGUUGAAUCUAUUGAAUUUUGAGAUUCUGCUAACUUGAAUGGGACUGAUAUCACAGAUCAGAUUCAAUAUCUAAGAAAUGUCUCUUUUCUGCCUUGGUGACAGGAUAGUUUAAUAACCCAAUCUCAUAUCCAGGUAGAUGCCGGGAGCACAAAUAUUUUGCUGCUUAGUUUCCCAUCUUUUGACGUCAAAUUGGCCCUGCUGGUGGAUGUGCUGUGGGUAUCUUGUGGCUUUGCUCACCUCCACCCAAGGGGUACAUGUACACCCAACUCUAAGAAAUAGGAGUCUGUUGACAGAUGGCUUGGCUGUGGAUUUCUAUAUACAACGACUGUCUUCAGUGGAUGGAAAGUCUAGAAUUUGGCAUUUUGCUUUCAUGCCACUGAUGGUCAGAUGUGUAGUUCUGAAUCCAUUGUGGACAUCAUGAAGCUUGUUUUUGCUGAAUAUUUAUUUAAAAGGGUCUCUUUUUUUUUCCAUUUGGGGAAAUGGUUGGAAAGGUAUCAUUUUCAAUUACUAGUGCAUUUGAGAGAAUUAAAUUAUUCCCAGGUGCUUUGGGUCUUUGCGUACACCUAGGCUAAACCACGAAGGGCAGUUGGGUUGAGGCGUUGAGGGGUAGAAGGAGGAAGCAGCGAGGGGCAGCCGGCAUCUUGUCCAGGAAGCCCCGGCUGGACUUAAAGGCGGGGCUGGAGCGACUUCCUGCCCUUCCUCCCACUGGGUCUGUUUCUUCUUUCUCUCUCCUCCUCCUUCUAAAAUUACCAGCUGUGACACCAUGUUUUUGAGUUUCAGAAUAAAGUUUUGAGGAGGGCUACAGCUGUAUGAA